UUUAACAUAUAGGUUCAAGAGGCCUUCGCUUUUUCAUCUCCAAAAGAUUUCAAGAUCUAUAAAGAUAGAAGUAAUAGAGAUGAGAUUAUUCCCUCUGAUAUAAAAAGAUUAUCUGAUAUUAAAAUCAGGCAUGGUGAUAUGUUAUAUUUAGUGCCUAAAGAAACACAAAGACAAGAUUUUGUUGCUUCAACUUCACAACCUAUGGAAAGUGAAACUACACAGGGGCACAUUACUUCAGUUAAUUUUUCUAAUCCUGCAUUUCAAGAAGAUGAAGUAGAUACAUUAUUAUUUAAACAAGAUGGUUACAUACAUAGAGAAAGAGAUGAAAAGCUAUGCAGCCAUGGUCAUAAUGCAAAAUGCAUGAAUUGUUUACCAAUAGAG